CACGUAGGCACCAAGCGUUGUCCGGAUUUAUUGGGCGUAAAGAGCUCGUAGGCGGUUCAGUAAGUCGGGGGUGAAAGCCCGAGGCUCAACCUCGGAACUGCCUUCGAUACUGCGGGUCUCGAGUCCGGGAGAGGUGAGUGGAAUUCCUAGUGUAGAGGUGAAAUUCGUAGAUAUUAGGAAGAACACCAGUGGCGAAGGCGGCUCACUGGCCCGGUACUGACGCUGAGGCGCGAAAGCGUGGGGAGCAAACAGG
rnacentral:rRNA from 1 species